CGGAUCAUAAGGCAGCACGCUGCCGAAAUCGUCUGCAAUCCGGCCAGCAUCGCGCAAGCGGUGUGACGACUUUUUCAAAUUUUUCAAUUGCUGCCAAAGGGGCAGCACCUCA
rnacentral:ncRNA from 1 species